rnacentral:tRNA from 1 species
GGCAGUUUGGCCGAGUGGUUAAGGCGAUUGACUGUUCGUUUCCCUCACUUUAACUUGACUUUCGAAAUUCACACUAACUCAACUUCAGCGAAUUUCCUCGUUAUCAAUUCUCUUUGGAGGCGCAGGUUCGAAUCCUGCAGCUGUCG